GAUGAACGCUGGCGGCGUGCCUAAUACAUGCAAGUCGAGCGAACGGACGAGAAGCUUGCUUCUCUGAUGUUAGCGGCGGACGGGUGAGUAACGCGUGGAUAACCUACCUAUAAGACUGAGAUAACUUCGGGAAACCGGCGCUAAUACCGGAUAAUAUUUUGAACCGCGUGGUUCAAAAGUGAAAGACGGUCUUGCUGUCACUUAUAGAUGGAUCCGCGCUGCAUUAGCUAGUUGGUAAGGUAACGGCUUACCACGGCAACACUGCAUAGCCGACCUGAGAGGGUGAUCGGCCACAUUGGAACUGAGACACGGUCCAGACUCCUACGGGAGGAAGAAGUAGGGAAUUUUCCGCAAGGGGGGAAAGCCGGACGGAGAAAGGCCGGGUGAGGGAUGAAGGUCUUCGGAUCGUAAAACUCUGUUAUUAGGGAAGAACAUAUGUGUAAGUAACUGUGCACAUCUUGACGGUACCUAAUCAGAAAGCCACGGCUAACUACGUG
rnacentral:rRNA from 1 species